rnacentral:rRNA from 1 species
UACGGAGGAUGCAAGCGUUAUCCGGAAUGAUUGGGCGUAAAGCGUGCGCAGGCGGCUGUGUAAGUCUGCUGUUAAAGAGUCAUGCUCAACAUGAUAAGAGCAGUGGAAACUACACGGCUAGAGUGCGUUCGGGGCAGAGGGAAUUCCUGGUGUAGCGGUGAAAUGCGUAGAGAUCAUGAGGAAGACCAGUGGCGAAGGCGGGUCUCUGGACAGUUCCUGACACUGAGACACGAAGGCCAGGGGAGCAAACGGG